UUUGAUAUUUUAUUUUACAUCUUACGUUGCCAGGUCUGGUAAGACCUAUGGCAAACACUAGUUGAUAAGAAACAAACAAAAGAAUAUUGCUUAUUACAUUGAAACUCAACAAAUUACAAGAAAAAUUAAAGGAAAAAAUCUGGUGUGGUACACUCACACAACUUUCCUUGCUC